rnacentral:rRNA from 1 species
GACGAACGCUGGCGGCGUGCUUAACACAUGCAAGUCGAACGAUGACGACCGAGCUUGCUCGGUCUGAUUAGUGGCGAACGGGUGAGUAACACGUGAGCAACCUGCCCUUCACUCUGGGAUAACCUCGGGAAAUCGGGGCUAAUACCGGAUAUGAGCUCCUGUCGCAUGGCGGGUGUUGGAAAGUUUUUCGGUGAAGGAUGGGCUCGCGGCCUAUCAGUUUGUUGGUGAGGUAGUGGCUCACCAAGGCGAUGACGGGUAGCCGGCCUGGGAGGGCGACCGGCCACACUGGGACUGAGACACGGCCCAGACUCCUACGGGAGGCAGCAGUGGGGAAUAUUGCACAAUGGGCGAAAGCCUGAUGCAGCGACGCCGCGUGAGGGAUGACGGCCUUCGGGUUGUAAACCUCUUUCAGCAGGGAAGAAGCGAAAGUGACGGUACCUGCAGAAGAAGCGCCGGCUAACUACGU